rnacentral:lncRNA from 1 species
AAAAACUUGAAAUUCACCCGGGAGUGCUGGCUGCUAAACCAAGCCCAUGUAUGAAAUUGACCGUUUAUAAGCAGAAGUCAGUCAGCAGGAAUUGCACCCCUGGUUCCCAGGAAGCAGAGAUGAGCUGGUGCUGAGUGUCCUUGAAAAUUUGCCCUGUAUGCCCACUGGUGACGGCAAUGAACAUGAAAGAACUGGGAGAGUGUGAGAGCAGCUGCAAAGGGAAUACAAGCUCGGCUAGGAGAAGGC